GCUCCGGGUUCCGCCAAUGAGAAAUCCAUGACAACCCCUUGCAUCAGUCGAUGAUACAUGUGCCAGAGGUUGUGUUGCCGACCAAUUUAAACGUGUAGAAAAAGGACUAUGGCCCCUGCAAAUGACGUGCAGGAUAGCAGCAAGUUCUGCCUCAAAUGGGAUGGAUUCCAUAGCAAUAUAACGUCAAUGUUUGAGACCUUGCGGCAGGACGAAGAACUUGUAGACAUCACAAUAUGCUGUGAAGGUCGCAAGAUUGGAGCUCACAAGAUAAUACUGUCUGCUGCCAGUCCAUAUUUUAGGGAUCUGCUCAAGGAGAACCCAUGCCAGCACCCGGUGUUCUUCCUGCGUGACACGCGCUGCACGGACAUGGCGGCCAUCAUCGAGUUUGUGUACCGCGGCAACGUGAACGUCUCGCAGGCUCAGCUAGCCAGCUUCAUCCAGACGGCGGAGCUGCUGCAGAUCCGAGGUCUCAGCGGCGACAAGCGAUAAACAGGAAUGCUGCGAGAAGUCCAGCGCCGAGCCGGUGCGGUCGGAGACGACCUCGAGCGGCGCCGCUUCAGCCAGGUUGGCGGCGCAGCCCGACGGGCCGCGGUACCGGCCGCCGCCGGCCACGCCCCACUCUCCGCGGCCCGCGCCGGCCAAGCGGCGCCGCGUCACCACGCCGCCGCCACGGCCAUCGCCGCCGGAGCGAGCCGACUCUGGCGGUGGCGAGCCAGUGGCCGACGCGGCGCAAGUGAAGCUGGAGAAGGUGGAGGUGCGAGAGGAUGGACAGCUAGACGCUGUGCCGUACCACCCGGCUCCCUCCGACCUCGAGCAGGUCCUCCUUCCUGCCAGAGGCGCGCCGCCCGCCCGUGGCACGUUCCAGUGCCCGGUCUGCCUUCAGAAGUAUUCAAGCCUGGCGUCAUUACAUAACCACAUCAGCCUGCACCGCGGCAACACAGUCUGCCACAUCUGCGGUCAGACGUGCAGCACCACUAGCAACCGCAACCGCCACAUGGCCAACAAGCACGCCUUCUUCGCCGGCGGGUGGAGGAGCGCGAGCGACGGUGGCGGAGGCGCGACACGCUGCCCUGUCGGCGCUGGAGAAGCAACGGUCGACCCGGCGGAAGGAGCUAGUGGCGCGGGAGGAGUGGGUGGGGCACAUAGCCACCACUGAGAGGGUGACGGCGUAACAGUGGAAGAUUUGGCGAGGCGUCGUUUUCCAGAGGUUUCCAGUCGCUGCCAGGCAUAGCUCAUCGCGACAGUGGACCAGCCGCACCCCGAUUUCUGCAGUUGUAAUGGCUGCUCAGCUCGAGAAUACAUUUGACGCUGUAAGUAGCACGGAGUUAUUUCGUCUGCAUAAGAUUGUGCCGACCGCUACAACAGCCUAAAAUCAACACUCCAUUUUAAGUUUGUCAACCCAUGCAAGUAAGCGCAUACACCGAAUUGACAAAAACUACAAUGCACAUUUCAUUUCGGGCAUG